CACGUAGGGCGCGAGCGUUGUCCGGAAUUACUGGGCGUAAAGGGCGCGUAGGCGGCCUGUUAAGUCGAACGUGAAAUCCCCGGGCUCAACCCGGGAACUGCGUCCGAUACUGGCAGGCUUGAAUUCGGGGAGAGGGAUGUGGAAUUCCAGGUGUAGCGGUGAAAUGCGUAGAUAUCUGGAGGAACACCGGUGGCGAAGGCGGCAUC
rnacentral:rRNA from 1 species